CCGCGGUAUCCUGACCGUGCUAAGGUAGCAUAAUCAUUUGCCUCUUAAUUAGUGGCUAGUAUGAAUGGAAAAACGAAAUUUUAGCUGUCUCUACAAAACCAAUAAAAAUUAAUAUUCAGGUGAAGAAGCCUGAAUCACAUUAAAGGACAAAAAGACCCUGCAGAGCCUAAUUAUAAUAUAUUAAUUUACAAUAAUACUAAACUUUAAACCUAAUAAUAAAAUCUAGUUGGGGCAACUAAGGAACAUCAAAACCCUCCUUAAAAAAAAGACAUAUAAGUCUAACAAAGAUCCACUAAACGUGAAAAUAAGCAAAGGCUACCUCAGGGAUAACAGGCUAAUCCUCCUUAAGAGCUCAAAUUGACAGGAGGGGUUGGCACCUCGAUGUUGGCUUAGGACCCCCAUGGGCGCAGCCGCCCAUAAAGGUAGGUUUGUUCAACCUUUAAAAUCCUACGUGAUC
rnacentral:rRNA from 1 species